GUGUCGGUAGCUCAGUUGGUAGAGCAGUUGACUUUUAAUCAAUUGGUCGCAGGUUCGAAUCCUGCACGACCCACCA
rnacentral:tRNA from 1 species